rnacentral:rRNA from 1 species
AACGAACGCUGGCGGCAUGCCUAACACAUGCAAGUCGAACGAGACCUUCGGGUCUAGUGGCGCACGGGUGCGUAACGCGUGGGAACCUGCCUUUAGGUUCGGAAUAACUCAGAGAAAUUUGAGCUAAUACCGGAUAAUGUCUUCGGACCAAAGAUUUAUCGCCUUUAGAUGGGCCCGCGUUGGAUUAGCUAGUUGGUGGGGUAAAGGCCUACCAAGGCGACGAUCCAUAGCUGGUCUGAGAGGAUGAUCAGCCACACUGGGACUGAGACACGGCCCAGACUCCUACGGGAGGCAGCAGUGGGGAAUAUUGGACAAUGGGCGAAAGCCUGAUCCAGCAAUGCCGCGUGAGUGAUGAAGGCCUUAGGGUUGUAAAGCACUUUC